rnacentral:rRNA from 1 species
ACAGCGGUGGAUGAUGUGGAUUUAAUUCGAUGCAACGCGAAGAACCUUACCUACCUUGACAUGUCCGGAACUUUGCCAGAGAUGGCUUGGUGCCCGAAAGGGAAUCGGAACACAGGUGCUGCAUGGCUGUCGUCAGCUCGUGUCGUGAGAUGUUGGGUUAAGUCCCGCAACGAGCGCAACCCUUAUCAUUAGUUGCUACGCAAGGGCACUCUAAUGAGACUGCCGGUGACAAACCGGAGGAAGGUGGGGAUGACGUCAAGUCCUCAUGGCCCUUAUGGGUAGGGCUUCACACGUCAUACAAUGGUCGGUACAGAGGGUUGCCAAGCCGCGAGGUGGAGCCAAUCCCAGAAAGCCGAUCGUAGUCCGGAUUGUUCUCUGCAACUCGAGAGCAUGAAGUCGGAAUCGCUAGUAAUCGCGGAUCAGCAUGUCGCGGUGAAUACGUUCCCGGGUCUU